AUGGUGCUGCAGGAUGGCCAGACCUUCAACCAGAUGGAAGACCUCCUGGCUGACUUUGAGGGCCCCUCCAUUAUGGACUGCAAGAUGGGCAGCAGAAGGCAGAUGGGACCUGUAACACCAACUUCAAGAAGACGCAGGCACUGGAGCAGGUGACAAAAGUGCUGGAGGACUUCGUGGAUGGAGACCACGUCAUCCUGCAAAAGUACGUGGCAUGCCUAGAAGAACUUCGUGAAGCUCUGGAGAUCUCCCCCUUCUUCAAGACCCACGAGGUGGUAGGCAGCUCCCUCCUCUUCGUGCACGACCACACCGGCCUGGCCAAGGUCUGGAUGAUAGACUUCGGCAAGACGGUGGCCUUGCCCGACCACCAGACGCUCAGCCACAGGCUGCCCUGGGCUGAGGGCAACCGUGAGGACGGCUACCUCUGGGGCCUGGACAACAUGAUCUGCCUCCUGCAGGGGCUGGCACAGAGCUGAGCUGCUCAGCCACCAUCAGGUUAAUUGGAUGGCGCCAGUCUGGCUGGAGGAGCCCUGAGAUGCCAUGGGAGGCCUGAGGUUGGCCACGGGGGAGCUGGCCUCCAGGGAC
rnacentral:lncRNA from 1 species